CUGCAUUAUACAACACCUAUUUGUCCAAUAAGAGAUGAAGCUGGCAUCGUUGUUCUUUCUAUUGAUGAUUUCGUGGUCCUGAGCUUCCAGACUCUCCGUACUGAAAACAAGCUUCGGAUUUGAAUUUUUAAUCCUCUAAAGAAAGCAGAGUGAAAUAGGACAGCAUGACUUGUUCUUACUCGCAGUUCUUUUCUAUUGAGACAACAUAACACAUUUACUGCCAAGGGCCUUCCUGCAAAACGAAGAGGAGAAGAAGACAUUUUCUCAAAGUCCAACCUGAAAUGGCACAGAUCAGAAAGUGCAUCCAAAGUUGAUUGUUUUGCUUGCAUCUAAAAGUUUCUCUGGAAGCUCAGUGUGAAUGAGAUAAUCAAGGGGAUUAUGUGUGACACUUAACCCUUUGCACUCACUUGCUUUUCUUCGAUUCCUUUAUUCUACUCGGGAUUUAAUUUUUUAAAUACCCCAGAUUUUACAAA